AUCUUUGCGCUUGGGGCAAUGACGCAGCUUAUGAGGUUAUACCGAGGCGCGUCUAUUGCUGGUUGAAAACUAUUUCCAAACCCCCUCUCUGGCCCACCUGGGCCACUGAGAAUUUCUGGAAGGGCUCUUUCUCUUCGGAGAGAGUAAAGCC
rfam:Oryza sativa Japonica Group DNA, chromosome 6, cultivar: Nipponbare, complete sequence.